UACGUAGGGUGCGAGCGUUGUCCGGAUUUAUUGGGCGUAAAGAGCUCGUAGGCGGUUUGUCACGUCUGCUGUGAAAUCCCGAGGCUCAACCUCGGGCCUGCAGUGGGUACGGGCAGACUGGAGUGCGGUAGGGGAGAAUGGAAUUCCUGGUGUAGCGGUGAAAUGCGUUGAUAUCAUCAGGAACACCGGUGGCGAAGGCGGCUUUCUGGGUCUGACCUGACGCUGAGGAACGAAAGCCAGGGGAGCGAACGGG
rnacentral:rRNA from 1 species